rnacentral:rRNA from 1 species
AACUCGCCUACAUGAAGCUGGAAUUGCUAGUAAUCAUAGGUCAGCAUACUAUGGUGAAUACGUUCCCGGGCCUUGUACACACCGCCCGUCACACCAUGAGAGUUGAGAAUACCCGAAGUCCAUGUUAAAGUGGCCGAAGAUAGGCUUGAUGAUUGGGGUGAAGUCGUAACAAGGUACC